UGAGACGAUCCUGUUCUAUUACUAGAAUAGGCGCAUUUCGAACAGGAAUGUAGAAAAGAAGUUUAUUAAGAAAAAGAACAAAUUUACAAUUGUAGAAAUGAAAUACAUUUUGACAAGGAAUCAAUGAAAAUAUCUGAUCUAUCAACUAGUUGGUAGUAUAGAGGACUACCAAGGUUAUAACGGAUAACGAGAAAUUAGGGUUUGACAUCGGAGAAGGAGCUUUCAAAAUGGCUACUACUUCUAAGGAAGGCAGCAGGCGCGUAAAUUACCCACUUUUAACAGAAAGAGGUAGUGACGACAAAUAACUCUUUUCUUUAAGAAAAAGAAUUGAAGGAAUGAACAGAACGUACAUA
rnacentral:rRNA from 1 species